UAAUCUUUUAAACCUCUUUGUGUGGAAGAAGAAAAAAAAAAUCUGCUAAAUAACUUGAGAGUCCCUAGGUAUUUUUUAAAAGGCUAGGAAGGUCAGUUGGAAAGUUCUGAGUAACUGCAGUUUCCUAAGUAUCAGUACCAAAAGUCUGAAAGCACAUAAAGAAAGCUGUUUGCUAAGCAUUUUAUGCUUGUGUGAGACAUUCAUACGACAGACUUAUCUGACAUGUUUGGCAUCAAGAGUGGAGGUGUGAAGGAGGUAUCACAUUUGGAGUGACCUAAUUAAUAAUGUUGAAUAAAUUCUUAUUUUUGUGUUACCAAUUUCUUCUCAAAGACAAGAAACUUACUGUAACUCAGCAAAGUAGCAAUAUUAUUAAGGUCUGACAUUUCCUUUUCUAUAGACAUUUUUUUGAUUCAGUGGAAAUAAGGCUUUUACUAAUCAGUAGGCAACCCACACAGAGGUCAUCUAUAAUUCUAUUUAAAAACUUCUGUCAGAGGAGGGAAAAAGUGCAUCACUAUAUGGUGGUGUUUAUGACGGUGAGAAGAAUGGGGUAAGGGUGGCAAGCAGAACUGUACAGAACAGGCGCAGUGAAAAAAAAGACAACAAUUAUUCAGCCUGCACUGAAGGUUUGUCGUUGUUACAGUAGGAGAGAGAAAAGGGCUGUUAUGCAGAAGUUUCAUGUAAACUCACUGCAGUGUUUCAUUCAUAGUAAACUUUACCAUACAUGGGUAAAUGAUCAGCCUAAUUACAUCUCUUAUAUCUACUGUAGGAGUCUCAUUAUUUCCUUCUGUUCCACCAUCUGUCUCUGCCCAUCUGUUUUCUCUUAUGGUUGGCCUGUAAGUUCUUUGGGGUAGAAUUUGUUUUUAAUUUCUUUUUAUGGCAUCUAAUUAAGGGGAUUCUGGUUUGAAACUAGGAAUUGUAAGCAAAGUAAUAGAAAAUAUCUCAUAAUAGAGCUUGCAUAUGUAAGAAACUGUGUUAACUAUGAGUUAUAAGCACUUGAAUACCACAAGACUUCACAUUUCAUGAAAGUGUAAGGCAUUCUCUUAAACCAUAAUAUUUGAUAUCUGGCUAACUUGUGCGUCAAUUCCUUUUAUUUUUCCUCAUGUCAGAAGUGCACAGGUCAAUGCAUUUGAUCUGCAAGUCUUUUCUGAACUUUCUUAUAUGCAGCAUGCUAGUCAGAAUGUGUUUCCAAUUGGUUGUCAGUGAAUUACAAUCCCUUUAUUUUUUUAUUUAUUUUUUUUCUUGAUGCAGAUGUAGGUAUUCUAUUCGCUGUCUUUGGAUUUCAGCUUGAGUCUCUCUCAUUUUGGGAUUAUUCACUGCCCUGAAAAAUUUUAAAACCAUCCAAGCAGCACUCUCACGUCCGUCAAAAUAAUCUCAUUUAAAGAAAUGAUGAUGUGGAAUUCCUAGAGCAGUGAAACUGUUCUGAACAAAAUACGUGUACAAUAAAUAUAUGAAAAUUGAUAAAAAAUAUUGAUUUACAACUUUGUUGAUGAUAGAGGUCAAGGAUGUGUUUAACAUAUGUAUUAAUAUUUCAUAAAAUCAAAUUAUUGCUGUAGCAUAUGUUAACUGGGUAUUUAGGGUAUAAAUAUGCACUCUGAUAGCUCCUUUCUUGUUCACUGUUGUGGACGUGUGCUUGCACAAAGUCAAACAUUGGUCUAGGAGACAUACAAAAUUGUUCUUAGUGGAUUUGAUUCCUCUGUGACACCUAUCUCUUUGUAUGUUUCCUAGUUUUUAAGCCCAAUAGCAGCGCCCUUAACUUGUCCAGCUGAAAUAUCCCUUUGGAUGAGUUUAAUGCAUUUUCUCUGGGAUUUCCUUAAUCUUAAAUGGACCACAGGAAAAGUUUAAGGCUAGGAUUCAUAAUGGAAGUAAGAACUACUGAAGUUUUGAGAGUAUGGCAGUCAUGAGUUGUAAGUAUCUUCAAAGUCUGAUGAAUUGAUAACCAGGCUGUUAGAUAGGAAACAAGAAAAUUUAGUCUGUGGCAAAUUUUGGUUAUGUAUUACUAAAAGAUGUGUAAACAAAGUCAAAUCAUCAGUUGCUUCAGGCUGGGUAUAGCUGUAGAAAUGCUUAAGGCAGCUUCCUCAGUAAAUGAAGAGUCAAAACAGCAGUCCAUGGAGUGACACGUGAAUAUCAAAGAAAAUCUUCAAGACACAGCCAUCAGCGGAUAAAGAGAUGUGCACUAUUUUGGGGAGGAUAGGAAAAGGGUGAUUCUUCUACAUCUCCUGGAACAUGGACAAGCCAUUAACUCUGACUCCUACGCUGCAGUGCUGACUAAAUUGAAGGCUUGAACUUCCAGAAUCAGGCGGAGAAGAGGACAACGUUUUUUUUGCAACAUGAUAACACCAGGACCUGAUUUCUUGGACCUGAUUGUGUCUUUUAUCUGAUUAUGGAGUUGCUGUGACCAUCUUGUACUUUUGGAUGUGAUCAUCAGCUGCAGAUGUGAAGGUGUAUGACUUAUCUUCUAGAAACAUCAUGCAAGAACUGAGAACUGAGACUCAGUGAAUAAAGGUCCCUGGGACAACUGAGAACCAACUUGACAGAGGGUCAAAAUAAAUCUUCCUGCAGGAGCAUAGAGCUGUUCCAAGUAGCCUUCUAUGGACAUUGCCUUCAUCCUAUUUUUUGAUAGGGCAGUUUCCACAGUUACCAGCUCUUCUGUUUGAGGUUUCUGUGCUGUCUCCUAUCUGUAUUACUGAACAUAGCUCUUCCAUUAGUUAAAUGCUACAAUCCCUGUCAUGGAGAAUAUCACAAAGAAUGAGAAUUUGGCAAAGGUUUUAUUUGAGCUAUUAUUAUGUGUGGUUAUUCUGUACAGAAGGUGCUUGUUUAGUGUGAUGUCUUACCGUCUGGGGACUGUGAAAUAAAAUCAGUGUAAAAGUUUUGACCACUAGUAAUGACUUCAGUUACAUCAGAAGGCCUAGGCUGAAUUAGUAAAAUGUUGGUUGGUUGUUUUUGUGGGUUUUUUUUUUUUUUUUUUUUAAGGUCUCCAAGAAGCCAGAGUAUACACACAGUCAGCCAUGCAUUGAGCACUCAUCCUCAAGAUUAGAUUCUGUAUUAAACAUCAUCUUUUUUCGUGAUUACCUUAGCCCAGGAAAUUGAAAUUUGUGGUUUGCACAAAAGAAAGUAUGCAUGCUUUUAUACUGUAGGAAUUUCCAGGUAAGAUUAAAAUAUAAAAAGCGGGAGGCUUUUUAUGAGAUAAGCAUUCAAAAUGUAGAAAGAUGAAUAUAAGGCCCAUAUGUUUGAUGGUGUAUGUGUGGGACCUAUAACAAAAAAAUAUCUGAAAGUUACUCUUAUGUGUCAUAAAUGAAGUUUUCACAUAAACAAUAUUUUUAAAUGGGUAUUUUUCAUAUUAAAAAUGAUUAAACUAGUGUUUUCAGCCUGUGGUUGCAAGGGCCCUAUGGUGAGGAGAAGGAGGAGGGAAAGACUCUCACUCAAAUUAAGACCUCAUCUCUGUCACAUUAGCUGUCAGCAGCUGAGUUUUCUCAUGAUACAAGGAAGUGUGUCCUUCUGUUGUUUUAAACUGGUACAUAUGUCUGCCUGCUUAUUAGAAGGAAUUUCAUGCUGAGAAUACAUGGUGUGGAUGCUCAUAAAAUUCACUGGCUUACUGGACAGGAUAAAGGUGUUAACUUUAACCUACUGGAAGUAUUGAAUACUUUGCCACUAAAAUCUUAAACAGCAGAGAUAAGCUGUAAUUCUAAGAUGAUAAAUCUUCUGAUUUCUAUCAUAAGCUCUUUCUAUAUUAUGCUCUUUCUAUAUUAUUCUACAGAAUACUAAUUUGGAUAUUUAAGUUCUAAAUAGUGUGAAUGUAAAAUUAAGUUCUCAGAACCUGUAAAAAGCAAAGCUUUAUGUGUAAAGGCCAUUAUUUUGUGCUGAACUGUCUCAAAGGAGAGUACAAAGCAAAUCUGUUCCACUCUGUAUAUUACAAGAGAAUUGAUCAUCUGCAGGUGACUGAAACUACACUUUGUCAGACCCUAGGUAAACUGUUUCUUUUGCCUGUAGUCUUGAUUUAGUUUGUUGUGGAAUUGUGCGCGUGAUGUCUUUAUUUUCUUCUAUUAUUGAUAUCUACUUUACCCUUUAGCUCUUCCAAAAAAAAUGGCCAAAAUAUUAAAGGCAUACAGACAAGAAUUGAUUAUGAACUAUAGGGCAAAGAAUGCUUUUCCCACGCCCAAGAACUGUGGACUAAGAAAUGGAUAAUUUAUGCACCAAGUAACACUAACUGGUUUGUUGUUUUUUUUUUUUAAUGCACAAUUAGGUAUGCUAAUAAUGUAAAAGAAAAGGCCAUUUUUUUUGUGUGUGUGUAUGUGAUGAAGAAAUAUAGGUGAUGUCUGAAAAUAUUAAUCAAGCCUAAAAGUUAAGUUUUUUAGAAAGUGCCUGCUGCUUUUGUCACAAAUUCUUGAUAUUAAUGUUCCAGCAACUAUGUUUGCAGACGUAGUACAAUAUCAUACAACAUAGCAUAGUACAACUGGAGACACUUUACUUCAAAUGUGUAUUCCUUUGUUUGUGAAGCACCUCUGAGCAUAGGUUCUAAAAAUUCUGAAGUUCUGUAAUUUUUUGGGUAAAGUAACAUACCUGUCACAGAAUUUCUAGCAAGUAAUCUGUGCCACUUCCUAGCCCUCACUAAGAUAUACUUAUUCUUUAAAGAGUAACUUUGUAAGCUAUUUUGUUGUUUUCUCCUUGUGUAAGUAGUAAUAUAUUCCUCCAUGCCCGUAUUCUGAGAUAAACUGUUCAUGUCAAAAAGUGGGAUCAACCAGUAAGUUGAAAUAAAGCAAAUCUGACUUCCUCAUCUUUGCUGCCAAAAAUCUUUCACUGGAAAGAUUAGUUUAUUUUCUAAAGUUGUAGUUUUGCCACCUCCACCAACUUCUCUUUCCUAGCCCUUGCUCCUGGGAUCUAGUAGCAUUAAUAAUUGCUGAAGUGCUGAAACAUUACACUUAAAUGUCACUGAUCUCAAUUAAGAAAAAAAUGUAUUAUGGUUCAAGCAAUGUUUAAGUUGGUAGAAAAUUAUACAGAAAACUCUUUGGCCCUUUAAGUUACUGCUUUGAUGUUAGCUUAAUGUCUACUUUCUGGCAAGAAUAAUACAGAGAUUUUUAUGAACAUUUGACUUUACUGUGAUUGCUGCUAGGGACUGUCAUUCUACAGAAGGUAAAUUGUAUGUGUGGCUACAGACUGAUUAAAUUACUUCCAUUCAUUAAAUUACAAAUCUCUCAGAAUAAAUAACACUAAUAUUUUCCAGCAUCUACAAUUUAAACUAUGCUUAGUCUUUACUGGUCCAAUUGAGAACUUUAGACUCUUAAUUUCUUCUGGGAGUGAUAGUCUUGUGUAACAGCAUAACGUAGGAAAGGUAAGGCUGUGUAACCCUUUAAUAUACAACUGAUCAUUUUCCUGGAAGGAAACAAAGAGGUAAGGGAGUAUUGUAUUUGACAAAAAAUACUGAAGCAAAAGAAUAGGAAAAACAAAUACUGUUUAUGUUAAAUUUGAUUUAGUAAAGUACUUGGUGCACAGAACUAUGCAAAACAUUCAAAGCACAUUAAGUCUGGAGAGUUCACAAAGAUGAACCUUAAAAUUCUGAAUCAGUAGGCAAAGACAGCACCUGGCUUACCAAUUUAAGGUAGAGAAACCGUGAAUACUGUUAAAUAAGACAUGACUUCAGUUGGCACCUCAGGGUUCAA